GAUCCAAUCUGAGUCCAAUGCAAAUCUGAUUCGAACCAAAUUCGAUCCAAACUCGAAGAGGCUAUCAAUCCUAAUCUAAUUAGGAUUCUAGUCCAAGUCUUAUUUGGAUUUUUAACUCAUUCAAGUCUAAUUAAAUCAGAUCUAAUCUAAAAUUAAUUAGGACAUAAAUUCAAUCUCUCAUAAUCUCUUGGAUCAUUGAUCAGAUCAUUAUCAUCCCUGAAAUAAAAUCUGAACCUCAUGUCCAGUGCUAGCUAGAUAUAG
rnacentral:lncRNA from 1 species